CCCGAUGAGAUAACGGAUGCGCGAUAGGCUGGCUGAAUCACAACUGCCAAAGUGAUGUGGCGCAAGAAGAAGCGGGCAGUGCUUUUGUCUGCGGAACCAUCAAAAACAGAGCGGUCGUCAGUGAUGACCUACCAUAAAAAAACUCUCGCUCUGGCCCCACCCGGAUUUUGGCUCCUGCAUUGUUCCUCGGGUGAAAAAAUGUGGGGAAAAUAUUCCGUGAAAGCACCACGGUUUAUUUUUC
rnacentral:ncRNA from 1 species